AGGUCAUACUGGGAAACCACUGGUUCCCAGGUGCCCUGACUCCCUAGCCAAUUCCACUAAGUGACCAUCUGCCCCCUUACAAAUCUGAACCUAGUAUGUCCUUUAGGCAAGAGACUUAGACACAUAAACAUCUCUUAAGUGAUUUUGGAAGUGGUGYUCUCAAUCUCAUCAGCUUGGUCUCCGUUGAUGAGAACUUUGAUUCUCUGUUGGGAUUUCUUGCCCAGUCGUUCAGGGCUGCUGUGCACUUGAAAGGGUUGCCAAUAUAAUUCCCUGCUAGAGACAUCCCAGUGAUYCCUGCAAGGGGACCUUGGCUGAAGAGGUCUUUGGUCAGAAGCAUGGCUUUGCCAGCAUCACUUCUAAGUUGUCGUAAGUAUUUUCAGGUGCAGGUAGAAUACUACCAAAUCCCAAAUAUACACUCCUUGAUGUGCACUUUGCACAAGUAUGAAUGGCUAACCAGAGCACAAGACAGAAGAGAAUUAGGCCCAAGAGAGAUAAGCUUUAAUAACUCUGCAGCCUCCCCAAGGAGAUAAUUUGUGCAGCAGUUAAAUAAAGCAAACACUAUUGGAAUUUAACAAAAAACACAGACUAAUAACAGGGGGAAACAUUCUCCAUUAUCUGGGUGGGACAUGCAUUGUUUCAUUGAUAUUGCUGCAGUGCAGGGACAUUGAAAUAAAUCGUGUUUUAAUUAAAAUAAAAUGUAUAUAGUGGAAGACAACGGGAACACUAAUGUUCUUCCAGCCUGCUCCAGAAAGUGCUGUUCUUGAUAAUGAUGGGCAGAACUCAUCUGGGGAGCAGGAACGUGGACAGUGCAAUUCCUGCUCCAGUGUACCACAGUUCGCUGUACCCGACUAUGCAACGCCCGACGCUGAUAAGGGUCUGCACGAAUAUGAAGAAUAGCAACUGUUGCAAGGAAGAAAUUAAUCACAAAACCAGAAUUGCCAUAGGAGUUUUUCCUUUUGAUAUUUUGAAAGUAUUUUGUAUGUGUUUCAGGUCAGGUAUGCUUUUGAGGUAAAAGGAAGGCAGUUCAAGCAUAUAGACAGAUUAUGUCUAGCUCUCGUUGUUUCUAGCUUUGCUGCUUAUUUAUAAGUUUGCCUCUUCACAAACCACAUUGCAGCUUCUAAUUUUAUCACUGCUUCGCCCAGCUUACUAUCUUAUUCUGCUGAAUGUUAAAUGAAAGUAGUGAAACCCAGCAGGGUGAAACAACAAUGAAUUUUGGCAGAAGCAGUGGAGAGCUUUCCUUUUGAAGCUUGACUUUCAAGAAACACAGGCUUCAAAUAGGGACCAUUUUAAAAUGGAUUGGGUGGGUACGUUUGUGAAAAGAGCAAAGGAGGGAACUUCUAAAAUAUAUGAACUCAUAAUGCUGAUGGUACAUAACUAGAGCGAUGACUUACUAGCUGAAGGUGGUGAUCUAAUGUGUAUUUUAUAGGAAGAUUAUAAUGAAAGUUAAUAUUAUUAAGUGCUUUAUGAAAUGGUUCAUGAACUGAAAAAAGGGUGUUUCUUCCUUGGACAAAUUGCCAUAGAAAUGUUAGCCUUCAGGGUCCUGUCUUCAUUGUUAAAAUAAAUUGUGUCUGCAGCUCUACUUUAUAGAGUCU
ensembl:lncRNA